AAAUACUGCCCAUGGCUGAGAGGACAUCAGCACACCGCUGAUGAACAUGAAGCCCAGAGUCACUGAGAGGGUUGUAUCCUUUCCACAGAAGGCUGCUUUUACAUGCAGCCACUCCUUAAAUUCUGUAAUUUCCUUAUUAGAGUCAGGGUUUCACCAUGUUGGCCAAGCUGGUCUCCAACUCCUGACCUCACGUGAUCUGCCAACCUCAGCCUCCCAAAGUUCUGGGAUUACAGAGAACACACAGACCAAGUCAAGUAAAUCCUAAUGGCUGUAUUCAUCAUCUCUGGUUUCAUGCAGUAGAGACUUCAAAUAACCGUGGAAGUUUAAAUGCAGGAAAUGCUGCAGCCCCAUCUACUGGAGAGGUGCAGGUAACUGAGUCAAUUUUUAAUAAAUUUAUCCUUAUGUGUGUAGGUAAGAACCUUACCUACAUCUUUUCGUCCUGGUUUUUCAAAACGUCUGUCACCCCUGGAAAAGAAAAAAUAAGUUUCAAACAAAGUCUCACAGUGAUAUAGAUUUCCUAUCCGUGACACUCACUUUCCCAUUUUUCUGAAAGCAUUUCUUCUUCAAAUUACAAAACAAAUAAAUACAUAGUUAUUGCCUAAUAUUUCGAAAAUAUAGAAAAGCACAAAGAUAAAAAGAAAAAUAUCCAUCCCCUCACCUACCAAAAGCUGUUUCUAUUGACCCAAAAUAUUAUUUUUUAAAUUAGAUACAUAGUAUACAGUUUUAUAUACUGCUCUUAGAAUGUGUUUUCCCACAUCAUUAAAUAUUUUCAAAAACACCUCUAAUGCUCAUAUAAUAUCCUACUUUGUGGAUAUACAAUUAUAUAAGGCCAACAUCAAUCUGUUUGGCUUAUUUCAAAUUAUUUUGUAUUAUAAAUAUCAUCACAGUGAACAUUCUUGUACAGACGUCUUUGUGCAAUUGCCCCCACUCAUCUUGACAGACUUCAUAUAAAGCCACAAACAAUAUAGAGAAAAGAUACUUUUACUAAUACCAACAAACAAUAACAUGACAAUUUGGUAUUUGCUAUCAAAUACCAAAUCAAAUUAACUAUGCUGGCACUCAUAUAUUAACCUAUCUAUCUAGAAUCCGUCUUCCUUUAAAUAAGAAUCAUUUAAAAAUUUCUAAUGUACAACUUGACGUUCAAUACUUAAGAGCAUUUUUUAAAAUGAAACCCUUUAACUGUACAAAAACAUUUCUCCCCGCAGAAAGCAAAAAAUAUAAGUUUUAUAUGCCAAGAAAUUUUUAUGCCAAUAUGUGGAUCCAGUUACCUUUCCUCCCAGCUCUGCGAUCUAUGCAUUUCUCUGCCACCUCCUCGACCAAAAACACCCUCUACUUCAUCAAAACUUCUUUGGUAGAAACCACAUUCACCUCUGCCUCUGCCUGAAAAUAAGAAAACAGAAAAAAAUGAUAGUCAGAUGUCAACAUGUGGCACACAUUCACCACCAUAAAUUAAUAUCUAAAGUUCUAUCUCUAUACAAGGCAGGACAUCUACAUUUAAAUACUGAACGAGGCCUGAUGAUCUUGACUUAUGAGACCAACAAUGGCAUUGAAGUAGCUGGACCACAAGAGGCUGAAAGAAACAAGUUAAAAAACUAACAUAAUAUAAUGCAAUAGACCCAGUCCUGAACAAGAAAGUAUCAACUUUAAGUUCUUUAACGAAAAGUUGAAUAGUGAAAUUCUAAGAAGUUCAAUAAAACACUACCGUAGAUUAAA